GGUAGUCCGUCACUAGUCGUUCCGGACUACAGGGAUUGACUUGCUUAUUGCUGGGUUAUGAUAGGCGUCAUCAUGACCUGUGAAAUUGGGUCGUGACACACAGUCCUUGCAACCUCAAAUACCAACAAUUUUUCUCUUAACGACAUACUUCUCGCAGGACUCAUAGAAGUACUUGUUGUGCCGACUGACUUACAUCUUCUUGAUCCGCUUCCUCAAUCUGGCACCAUAACGUGUAUUAUACUUUUGAUAAUUCUAGCCUUCUUGAUUCGCUUGGUCAUUUUUGACUAGCUGUUGAAAAACCUUGAGAUCUUAUGGAAGAGAAAGACGCCGCAACAGCUACAAUAAAACCCUAAAUUUUGUUGAGGAGCUUGAAGCGGUAGAAAAGUGGGAUAAAGAAAAGAGGGUGGGUGGACGAAGGAAGUUAUCAAACCUUUUUUUAAAAUAAAAAUAAAAAUUGUUCUUUUAUUUAAUUUAGUUAUUUUUAAUCAAAAAACUUAUGAUAUGCGUCAUAUCACGCGUUUAUUUCAAUUCAAUCAUUAAGUUACCACAUAAACUUGGGUUUAAUUGACAAAGUGCUUAAUAGAGUUGUCCACAUUAACAAGUUCCAUAGAUCAUUUUGCCUAAUUUUCUACCACUGAUUUUUCUCCGGGGUAAGCGCAAGGUUUUAUCAUGCGGUAUGUUUUGGGUCGCACAUUUCAGUUUAAAUUGGAUUCGGUUCCGGUAUCAUUCACUUUUUCUAUUUAAAAGAGGUGUAUUAGCAGAUUCCGGAGGAUAAAGAAAGUAUGAGUGUAUUUUGAGGAGAUAGCUGGGCGAGGGAAGCUCAAUAUAGGAAGAGAAGAAUCGAUGAAUUGAUGGUUGACAGCAUCCACUCUUCUACUUGUAAGAAACUCUACAGCGGCAAAUUAGCCUGUUUCGUUUGCCCUCACCGUCCUGUCCUCGACCCCCCCCCCCCCGUACGUACAUAUCUUAACAUAACCCUGAUUUUGGUUAUAUUGAUUAUCAUAUCUUCUGAAAAUAAUAUAAAAGAUUGAUCUUGGAUCUAAUUUCUUUUUUUGUUGACCCUGGUGUUGGAGUUAACUUUUGUGCACCUCGACUAGUUCUACGAGAUACAUGGCAGCUCCCACUAGCAAUAGGUACAUGUGAAAGGUUCAAGCCAUCGAGCAGCAGAGUCAAGGCUUAGAGAAAGAGAAUUAAGGAGGCAAACUGAGAUAAACAAGAGAAUAGCCUUGUCAGGAUGUGAUACUGCCACCUCGAGAACCUUGACAUCCAUCCAGUUAUGUAGAUCAGCAAGCAAACCAUUGAUUGAACGCACAAGGAAAGAUGCGUCUGACAUACUUCUUCAAAAUUUGGCACAAAGUACUGCUUCUCAAGUGGAUGAGAGUAGUGUAGCUGAUGGAGGAAAUAGUUAAUGUGUUCAGAUAGGAGUCUCAACAAAUCCAACUAUCAUGCCUCUGGCAUAAAACCAGGAAUGACUCGUGAAGGAGCUUAAGUUCACAUCUGCUGGCUGGAAGCGUGAUGGCCAUGGGAGGUGGUUUAAGGAUGAAAGUGUGAGUUUUUAAUUUGAUGCAUGAACCAGUGAUAGAAAGUGUGAGUUUUUAAUUUGAUGCAUGGAACCAGUGAUGGAACUUUUCUCUUGGUGCUUCUUAAGCAACAUUUUUCUUGUAUUACUUGACUAUGACUAGAGAUUUAUCACUUCAAUUGGUGUUUAAUCAAUUCUCUAUUAAAGCAAUUUUUUAAAUUGAA